rnacentral:rRNA from 1 species
UGGGGAAUAUUGCACAAUGGAGGGAACUCUGAUGCAGCGACGCCGCGUGAACGAAGAAGGCUUUCGAGUCGUAAAGUUCUUUUAUAUGGGAAGAUAAUGACGGUACCAUAAGAAAAAGCCCCGGCUAACUACGUGCCAGCAGCCGCGGUAAUACGUAGGGGGCUAGCGUUGUCCGGAAUCACUGGGCGGAAAGGGUUCGCAGGCGGAAGUGAAAGUCAGGUGUAAAAGGCAGUAGCUUAACUACUGUAAGCAUUUGAAACUGCAUAUCUUGAGAAGAGUAGAGGUAAGUGGAAUUUUUAGUGUAGCGGUGAGAUGCGUAGAUAUUAAAAAGAAUACCGGUGGCGAAGGCGACUUACUGGGCUCAUUCUGACGCUGAGGAACGAAAGCGUGGGUAGCAAACAGG